UAGCUCAGUUGGUAGAGCAUGGGACUCUUAAUCUCAGGGUCGGGGGUUCAGGCCCCAU
rnacentral:tRNA from 1 species